rnacentral:rRNA from 1 species
UACGUAGGGCGCAAGCGUUGUCCGGAAUUAUUGGGCGUAAAGAGCUCGUAGGCGGCCUUCUAAGUCGGACGUGAAAGCCCCAGGCUUAACCUGGGAACUGCGUCCGAUACUGGGAGGCUUGGAUUCGGGAGAGGGAUGUGGAAUUCCAGGUGUAGCGGUGAAAUGCGUAGAUAUCUGGAGGAACACCGGUGGCGAAGGCGGCAUCCUGGACCGAGAUCGACGCUGAGGCGCGAAAGCUAGGGGAGCAAACGGG